rnacentral:rRNA from 1 species
UACGUAGGGCGCAAGCGUUGUCCGGAAUUAUUGGGCGUAAAGGGCUUGUAGGUGGCCAACUAAGUCAGACGUGAAAUCCCUCGGCUUAACCGGGGAACUGCGUCUGAUACUGGAUGGCUUGAGUUCGGGAGAGGGAUGCGGAAUUCCAGGUGUAGCGGUGAAAUGCGCAGAUAUCAGGAGGAACACCUAUUGCGAAGGCAGCUCGCUGGGACGUAACUGACGCUGAGACGCGAAAGCGUGGGGAGCAAACAGG